GAAAGUGUUCAAGGCGGAGGAUGGCGUUAAAGAUUGAUGCGAUGAGUGCAAUCCCUUUUAUGGGGAGUUCCUUGAUUGCUUUAUUUCCUAUUAGGUCGUGACCUGCUGCUUUUUUGGGGUUUAGGCGACUGAUUGCUUCUAUGAUCUCUGCAGAAGUGAAGGGUUGGAUAGGAGGGGACAUUUGGAAGGGAGUGUGCAGGUAUUCGGUGACGUCCGCUGCAGCUAUGGAGGAAUGGAAUAGUUCUAGUUCAAGUUUGCGUUGCGCUAGACCGUUGGCAUUCCACAGAGCUAUGCGUCUUGGUUUUAUUUUGUGUCGGGGCGUAUUAAUUUAUCCAUG
rnacentral:misc_RNA from 1 species